UACCUUGGGAGCAAAGGGUGGGGGUGGGGAGAGCCGUCAUAUUGGAAAUCAAAUCUAGGUAAACGAGUGCUUUCAGAUUGCACAGCACAUCCCAAGCCAGGCCAGGACGUGCUGGUGAGCGAGCUAUGGGGAGGCAGAAAAUGGAGGACCACAUCCUAAGGGGGGGAGCGUGUCCCAUUUUAGACAGUUGAGGAGAAGCUGAAUCCUCAAUAACGCACUCCAGUUCUCCAAUGACCGAGGGAGCAGACAAAAGACACCUUUUCAGCCCUUCUGUUGCUGGGGUGAGCUGAAGGCUGUGUCCCUUUCACGCCCAGAGGAGAAGGCUAUGCCUCUAUGCCUGAACUGGAGGCAUGGUGCUGGUGGCCCAUGCGGUGCAAUUCUAGGCCUCAGUGGAGGAAACUCGAGCUGCCAUGGCUCCCUUUCUCUAGAGCUUUUCUUUUCGUCCAUCUCUGCAGCGUAACACAGUUGCCAUUUUUGUAUGUGUGUGUGUGUGUGUGUGUUAAGGAACAGGGAGGCCUAUUUAGCUUUGGCACUUUCCCCUCUUCUUCCUUCUAAUUCUUGAUUCAAGAAGAAGUAGGAAAGAGUGAAAUCUCUGAGGGAUUUGCUAGGGAGUGUCUUUCCCCCCUCGCCAUCAAUAGGAGUGUAAGAGUGACCAGAGUGGGAGCAUGAAGGGCCCUUUGCUGCCCCUGGCCAGGGAGAAUGGGAAGGAGGGUGGACCAGUGAGGAGCUGGAAGCCACCCUGGAGCAGGGCAACGCUUUGUUCUCUGUGUGUGUGUGCGCUCGUGUGAGCCCAUCAGCGAAUAGAAAUAAGUGCUAGUGAAAGCCUUGGUGGGGCUGAUGCUGGGCUGUAAGAUGGCCUCUCAGACAUGCGAGCCUGCCUUGUUUGGAGGUGGAGAAAUCACAGGGGUAAUAGAUGCAUAGUUAUUUUCCUGCAUGAAGUUAUGUCUUUAAAAAUAAUAUGGUCACUACGCUUCAAAACCUCCCCUGGGCGUGGGGGGAAUUUGAGGCGUGUGAUACAGGGAAAGGCCUGUGUGAUGACAAGGACCAUAUCCCAUUUGGAAAGGGAGAGGUGCAACCUUCUGAGGGCUCCUGGCUCUGGCUGGGGCAGUGGAGCCCACAAACGCCCUGUGCUGAGGGCCAGCUCUGUGGAAGGCAGGCCCCAGGGGUGUGAGGGGAGAGGACGAGGUUCCCUGCAGAUUUGGGCCUGGGAUGGAGGUUACACAUUCCAAACCCUCCCUUCCCCACUUUUUUUUUUUUUUUUUCAACCCUGCCUGGCUGAGGAAUGUAACAGAGAAAAAAAAAAAGGCACUGGAGGAAAGAAAAAAAAAAAAAGAGGGGGGAUUCGGAAGCAAAGGCCCCUUCAGGAGUCUGUAUUUGUGCAAGGGAAACCAUUUGCAUGUGUGUGGAGAUGCCAGAGUUUGUCUCCAGUUGGGUCGGAGGGGGAGGGCGCGGGAGGAAUGCGGGGAAUCAGGUCGGGCUGCGGGGGGAAGGGCUCCGGCAGAGCCUCCAUCCUGUUGUUGCAUAAACUUGUUAAAAGAACCCCUCCUCUGUGGAGGCAGCACACAUAGGGUAUUAGUGUGGUGGAGGAGGCCAGACCUGCGCCCUGGCUACACAACCAAUUGGAGCGGAAAGUGAAAUCAGAUGGUUUAAGUUUUCAGAGGGAUUUUUUUUUUUCAGGGGGACUUUUUGAGUCAUUGCAUUGAGUGCUAGAUCUGUGUUAAGGUCGCUCCUGCUCUGGCCGCUCCUGGGUGGCUGGGGAAGGGAGGCAGGAGGUGCCGCUUCCCCUGGUGCCGUGCGGCCCCGCUGUGCAGGCUCGUCCCUGGGGCCCGUGCAGAGACCGCAGCUCUGGCCCUGCGGGCACGGGCGGGCUGGGGGCUGCUGGGUGUGCGGUGCCGGGAGUCUGGCCCUUGCCGUGGGGGAAAGAGUUGGGGGAGCUCAGGAUCAGCCUUGCGUGUUCUCCUCCCCAGCCAAGGCAACUACAAGGCCUUUCACUUGCCCUGUACAGGCAGGGCCAACAGUGGGAUCGGCACUUCCAGGGUGAUAGUAUUUAGCCCUAUUUUCCUCCUGCAUUUAGUACCAUAAGUCGUCUUUUUUAUUUUUUUUUUUUCCGUCAGACAGCAGAGCGCUGGUAAACACCAUGCAGAAAAGCCGUAUUGUGGGGUUACAAAGUCUGGGCUGUUUAAGGAGCUCUGUCAUUCCUUUUAAUGGAGCUCACUGACGCAGAUCUGGGUUCUGCCAGCCCAGGAAAUAUUGCUGCUGAGAAAAGGGUUAUUGAAACCCACAAACUAAAUAUUAUGAACAAGAAUCAAAUGGCAGGAUAUUCUGGAGUGUAAUCCCUCCUGAUUUCAGGAGAAGGGGAACAUAUUGGCAUGGAAUGAAGCUCCCUCCAGUCACCUGCUGCAAGACACAUAAUCCAGCUUCCUAACCUUAAGGAUGAGACCCUAUCAAUAUUGCCUCUGCUUUUGUGAUCAGGGUAGUAGUGCAAUAUUGCUUAUAGGGUCUUUUCUUUUGAGGGUUGUUCUUCAUGGAGAGAAGAAAGCCACAGCAGGAAAAAAUAACCCCAUAUGCCCACCGAGUUAAGGGAAAAGUUGUGAAAUGCUGAGUGUUGUUAGAUAGGCGAGUAAUUGUACAGAGAUGUUAUUUGUGACAAAUAAUCGUGCUAUUCUGGUGACUCAGGUUGUGAGUAAUGGGCAUAUUUUUGAUGCUAUCACACAGGAUUCAAAACGGCUUCGUGUUUAAAACACAAGCAGUGAUUGAAACCAGAGAAACCCAUCAUGGUUCCUUUCUAAAAUAGUAUGAGUUCUGAGACGUUUGAAGGGUGUCUAUAUUACAUACUGAUGUAAACACCCACCAAAGGAUGGGAGGAGAUACAUAGCCAUACUUGCUGUUUCUGUGCCUGAUCCCAGCCCGAAAACCAGUGUGGUGCAAAGCAGAGCACAGCACAAAGAGGCCGAGGCUCUAAUCCCAAUAACCUCGGCGAAACAAAGCUCAUGGCUCUGCCCGGCGAGUGCGGCCCGCCGGGCUCCGCGACCGUGCCCCGAAUACCCGGGGCUAUUCCAGGGUCGGGCGGCGCAGCGGGGCCGGGCACUGCCUCCGGCCCUUCCCGAGAGCUGCUUUCUGAGGUACGUGGGAACGGAGCAGGGAUGGGGGUGUUAAAUCUCCUCUCCGCUUUGUGAGGAUCAGCUGGGGGCUGACAGCAGCCAGGAUGGCCGAGUGGGUGGCCCUGCCUUCCAUUUCAGGUGGUCCCCGCGGUCCCUUUCGGGACCUCAGGGGCCCAGGGAAAGGGGUGGUGGGAGGGGACUGAGGGCCGGAUCAGGGCGCGGCGGAGCUGCCGCGGGGCCGCUGCCGCGCAUCUCCCCGGGGCGGCGGGGCUCGGGGCAGGGGCCGGAGCCAUACUGUGGGGCCAUGCCCGCUGCCUCCCCUUGUACGGCUGCCGCUACCCUCGGUUUAACUCCCCCCUCCCCGAGCUGCCCCCUAGCAUCAUUCCAGUGGGAGGCGGCCAGCUCGGGGACAAAGCCAGGAUCUUCCCGCCCCACUCGGGCUCUCCCUCUGUGCCCCCAGCCCGGCAGCCGCCGCAGCUGCUGUGCCAGCGCUGGGACCACCGGCCGGGCUGCCCCUCUUUCCCUGUUGCACUACUGUCACGGUCGCAGCGAGCAGUGCAAUAAUGAAAGGGCGUCAGUGCGCCGGGGAGCGGCAAGAGCCGGGGACGAGCCGGUGACAGCGCGCAGGGACGGGGACGUCCCGCCGCACCCGAGAGCCGCCUUAACGGGGCGGAGGGGAUACACACGACACUGACGGACGGACUUUGGUUGUGCAACUUUCUUUGUUUAAACACGCAGCGGCGGAGAGCGUACGCGCAGGGGCAGGACAAGGUGAGCGGCUCCGCGCACCGCUUGCCCCGGGCCCGCCGCCGCUCCCCGCCCCGCCGGCCCUGGCCGCGCUCCCCGCUGCCGCGGGGCCUGGGACAGCCCCUCUGCUGUACCCGGCCGACAACAAAUAAAUAAAAGUGACCUCCGA